AAACAUGUAGCUCAAUUGGUAAGAGCAUGGGACUGGCAUCUCAAGGUUCCGGGUUCGAAUCCUGGCAUGUACU
rnacentral:tRNA from 1 species